AAGACAUCCAGACUAUAGCAACACUCCUCCCUAAAAGGUGGGACCUCAUUCUCCUUCUCUUGAAUGUGGACCGAACUUAGUGAAUCACUUCUAACAAACAGAAUGUGGCAGAAGUGACAGCGUGUGACUUCUGAGGCUAGGUCAUAAAGGACACUGUCUUCCUCUCUUGCUCUGUGAGAAGCCAGCUGCUAUGUAGGGAGAACAUUCCAACAGCCUGUGGGGAGGCCCCUGUGGGAAAGAGCUGAGGCAUCUCACAACAACUGGCACUGACUUGCCAGCCACGGGAGUGCAUCCUGCAGACUCAGUCAAGCCCCAUGACUGGAGCCCCAGCUGACAUCUUGACUGCAGCCUCACGAGUGAAUCUGAGCCGGAACUGCCCACCAAGCUGCUCCUGAAUCCCUGACCCUCAGAAACCGUGAGGAUAGUAAAUGGGUACUGUUGUUCUAAGCCACUAAGUGUUGGGGUAAUUUGUUACACAGUAAAACAUAACUAAUAGGGCUUGUUAUUUAGCAAAGUUUUGGCAACGAAGGAGCAAAAACAACAUAGUCUCUACUGGAAAGAAGCCCACUGUCUACUGUGGAGAUUCAGCUGGGUAAAACCAACAAGAACACCACCAUGUGAUAAAUGCUACAACAGAGAGGUGUCAGUCAGGAAGAGCAUGGUUAUGCUGUGGGAACAAGCAACCUAAACACUUCAGUGGCUUCAAAUACCACAGCUUCCUUCUUGUUCAUGUCACGUGUCGACUGUGAUAGGCAGGAGCUCUGCUUCUUGUCAUCCUCACUCCAGGAUCUAGGGUCAGGGCAGCCAUGAUCUGGCUUACUUCUGGUUGCCAUAGCAGAAAGAAGGAGAAAAUGGCAGAUGGUGACUGCCUCUGAAAGCUUGCGCCUGGAAGUUACGCAUGUCAAUUCUGCUCACGUUUCAUUGGCCAAAGCAAGUCAUUUGACUGUGCUGAAGUGUGAGGAGAGGCAGAGAAAUAUAAUCGUACCACGUUCUCAGCGAAGGAGAAAUAAGAGAUUAAGGAGCGUCCCCAGUGACUACCAAAGGCAUGCAGGGCGCGACGGGAAAAAAAACAACUCUCUUAGAGUGGAGAGGGUCAGAGAUGGGUUUGUAGGGGAACAGAUGCUAAGAAGGAAGAAUUUAUUAACCAGUCAAGGAUAGAACAGCAUUCUAGAUAGAGGAAACACACACAAAUGUUCUUGUGCACGAAUUAUCACAUGUUGGAGAAGAGCAGGGAGCAGAAGCAGAGGGUAAGUGAGUUAGGCUGAAAACCUACCAGGGCCUAAGUUUGAAGGGAACCACGUGCAAGGCUAAAGUGUGUCCUUUGAGGACCAACAGUGUUUUGUAAGGAGGACAUUUGGGGUGGGACAAUCCUUUAUGUGAGGCCCUGUUGCGUGCAUUGCAGGAUAUUUACCGUCCUGGGCAGCAGACCACUCAAUGACUGUAAUACUCACAGUAAUUAUGAGAAUAAACGUUAUCCCAACUCCCGUACCCGCUCCAAACACCCCCAGGGCUGGAAGACUGCUCCCUCUUGAGAACCAUUUGUAAGGAGGGUAAUCUGCUCUUCUUCUACAACUCAUGAAGUAUAAUCAGAUUUUGACAAAACUCAAGAAAUACCAAGAUGAAAUAACUCAUUGCAAUAAACAAUUGCCACCAAAUUUAAUCUGUACAGCAGUCGCAGUUGGUGCCCAUGGUAUAGAGACAUUAUACCACGGAGUACAUUCAAUUUCUAUCACACUCCUCUAACUCUGCCCCUCCUGGAAGGAUUGCUUUCUCUCCUUUCAACAAGAAUGCAAGUCAUUGAGAGUAAAGAAUUGGAGAUAAAUGAGAUAAAUUUAGUUUUUUUUAAAAAAGGAGACAUCACUAAGCUUGGUACUUGAAGAACAUUUUCCAAAGCUGCUUAAAAUGAUUGUGACAUACCCCUGCUAACUGCUAAUACAGAACUUAAGUAGAGGGUGUGACUUUAUCUAAUUUAAUUUUUUUUUAGCUGAGGAUGAUUUGCCCUGACCUAACAUCUGCUGCCAAUCUUCCUCUUUUUUUUGUAUGUGAGCCACCACCACAGCAUGGUCACUGACAGAUGAGCGGUGUAGGUCCGUACCCGGGAACUGAACCCAGGCCGCUGAAGCAGAGCACACCGAACUAAUCACUAGGCCACCAAGACUGACCCCUGAUUUACGUUUUUAAAAGAUCAUUCUGGUAGCUUGUGUAAAGCAAGAUCAAUUCAGACUUUUGCAGAAGCUGAAGCAACUGAUACUGAGGACUAGGAAACAGAGUAAAGGGGAUGGAUUCAAGAUACCUUUAGGAAGGAAGAAUCAACAAGAUUUGGUGUCCAUUGAUAGAAGGGAUGAGAAAAAGGGAGGAGAGGAUACUGAGCAGAAGCCAUCAGCUAUAAGUAAACAGACAGUAAGAAGAGAGAACACAAUCUCAUCAUGAGGUCAAAGGAGGAAAUUUACAACAACUGACAGGCUGAAUAAGCUAGACCAGCAGCCCCAACAUCCUGCUCUGCAAAACCCUAGUCCUGCAAAAGGCCUACGUCCAAAGGGUUCUGUGGUCAAUUAAGUUUGAGAAAUAUUUCAUACUCUCCCCACCCGGAGAUUUACUAGAUCUGCUAGUAUAUUAAUGUUCUAAACUGGUUUAUAGUAAAGAAACCAGCUUAAGCUUUAUGUGACCCAUAGCAUACCAUAAGUAUUUGCUUUCAGAAACCUUUUUACUCAAAAGCCCAUUAAGAUCCUGCAGAAUCAGUGUUCCGGGGAACACACUUUGGGAAACAGAUUUAAAACCCACGUAGGAGAACUCCUGCAACUCAACAACAAAAAGACAAACAACUCAACUAAAAAAUGGGCAAAGAACUGAAAAUAGACAUUUUUCCAAAGAAGAUAUACAAAUGGCCAAUGAGCAUGUGCAAAGAGGCUCAACAUCACUAGUCAUUAGGGAAAUGCAAAUGAAAACCACAUGAGAUACCAUUUCACAUAUUACUAAAAAAAUAACACAGAAAAUAAGCGUUAGAGAGGAUGUGGAGAAAUUGGAACCCUUGCGCUGGUGGAAUGUAAACUGAUGCAGCCGCUGUGGGAGAUGGUAUGGUGGUUCCUCAAAGUUUUAAACAUAGAAUUACCAUGUGAUCCAGCAAUUCAACUUCUGGGUAAAUACACAAAAGGAUUGAAAGCAGAGACUCCCAACAGAUAUUGGUAUACCAAUAUUCCCAGGAGCAUUAGUCACAACAAAAGGCAGAAACCACCAAAUAACCAUUGACAGAUGAAUGGAUAAACAAAAUGUGGUAUAGCCAUACAAUAGAAUAUUAUUCAGCCAUGAAAAAGAAAGGAAAUUCUGACACAUGCCUCAAUGUGGAUGAACCUUGAGGACAUGAUGCUCAGUGAAAUCAGCCAGCCACAAAAGGACAAAUACUGUGUGCUUCCACUUACCUGAGGUUCCUAGAGUCAUCAAAGUCACAGAGACAGAAAGCAGAAUGCCUUCCCUGAGAAAAGCAGAGAAGCACCCACACCUACUGCCAAACAUCAAUAUGUUUGUCAUUAAUCAAAACUGCAGUUAAAAAAAAAAUCAAAGGGAAAAUAAGGAUCUGGACGUACUUGUUGCUGUGCGCCUUCUCCAAGAGGAGCUGUGCCUCAGCCUGGGAGGUUCCGCCCGCGCUGGCUCCAAGGCUUAGCUUCUGGGAGGAUAACUCCAGCCAAGCAUCGUUUCAAGUCAUCAAAGACAUGGUCUGCUGCUGUUUGCCUGCAAACAUUUGCAUGUUGAAAGCACUGAACGUUCUCAGUUUUUUCAAGUGUUGUUUUAACUACAGAAACACCUAACCCCAAACAGCCCAAGACUUUCAUGUGACAUACGGUGUGUAUCAGCUUUUCCACCCUGACCUGAGAAGUGUCUUUAUUCAUUUUCAAGUGGUCCCAGAUCCUCUAAUUUCUAAUUAGCAAGUCAUCUAAUUGAAAGCCAUGCAAACCCCUUCCCUUUGACAGAUGGGCCUGCCCACCGGCCUGGUUUACGGGAAAGCAAUGCAAAGCAGUUCUUUUCCUAAAGCAGGGGGAAUCUCUGUUCCUCCUUCGUUGGAGGUGCCCAGCGUGGCACUGCCUGUACUCGCACUGCGGAACGUAACUGGAGCCACACGUAACAAACUCAGAUUCUCUGCUAUGAUGGCACCCUUGCAUGGUUCCCUCUAGGACCGGAAUUGCUGAGCGCCCUGGUGCCCACUCGGCACGCAACACUUACGUGAAAUUCCACAGAGCUUUUGUUUCCACAGGAGUAGGCGUCCCCGUGAUCACAGAAACACCUAAAAUUCCAAAGUUUAACACUGCCAAAAAAUUUGCGGAAAAAAGUACUAUUUCAUAAAAUAAAAACACCGUUAGAACAUCUGCCACAAAGAUUAGAAAAACAUGAGAUUUAAUUAUUUCACUACCUGGCCAGGAUGCUCCCCUCCACCCCAACUACCAGCCACAGAUGGUCCACAUAAGUACAAUAAUGCGUGAUUCCUGCACGCCUGCGUGGCAUGCUUGGCUGAGAAAGAUGAGAAUCGAAGGGGAAAAAGCAGCUUCUAUGUUUUUUUAAACAUAUCUGCUCUAACUUACGUUCUCUUUUUUUUCUCUAUUUAAAAUUCAAGAAUAAAUUAAAAGCUAAAUCCACUAAGACUUUAAAUGGGCUUCAUGGAGAGGAAUAAAUGACAUUACAUUUAUCUGUUGAAAACAUUAAUGGAAAACUAAUUUGAGAAAGAAAAGACUAAUUAAUAAGAGCAGAAAUGACUACUUAACUUCCUUUGAUCUUAGAAAUUAUUAAAUAGUAAAAUAACCCCUCCGUUUUAUUAGGCACAAUCAAACACAGAAGGCACAGGAAGAGGAAGCAGAUAAAACACCGGCCUUAGGAGACCGGUGGACGCCCUCUGCCGUGGGAACUGCAGUCACCCUGGUUUCCGACUGGCACUCAGGGCCCCUCGUGCGGUUCCCCGGCUUUGGCGCAACCCACCUGCAGGUGUCAGUCUCCGUGGCAGGGAGGGAAGUCACGAGCUCUGAGACGCUCGCUGCCCCCACGGGCCAUCCGGCUCUGGAGAGCCUGCAGGUACCACACUGGCCUGAGAACUGUGAGCAAAUCCUUGAAGUCAUCCAAGUUCCUGCUUUCAAAUUCCUUACAAUUGAACUGGAAAGACUAAACAAACUCACAUGUAAACCAAAGAGGCGCUCUUGGAAAAUGGAAACAGGAAAGCCAGGAGAAAGGAAGGUCCAGGUUUUAGAACUCUAGGGCAGAUAGUAAGAGUCCAGAUCAAGCUUCGCCAGAGCUCCGAGGAGGAAGCAGUCAAUGUCUGGAUUACACACCUGAUGCCCCUGCUAACUCUGAAUCAGCUUAGCUCUGCUCAUGUAAAUGAGACCGAGCAAUAGAAUCUCAGCACCACAAUCUGCAAGCUCCCGUCCCCUAAGAGCAUACUAUUGGCACAUCAUAAAACUGCUUUGUAAACAGAAAGGCAUGCACACAAUUGCUAUCAAUUCUGUAACGGCACAAUUACGUGUGACCAUUAUUUUGUUCCCAGGACUUAGCAAAACGCCUGGUCCUUGGUGGGUGCCCAAUUAAGAAGGCUAAAUGAAUCGCCGUUAAGAUGGUAAAGCAAAUGCUCCGUAAUUGGACUUUAAAACCACAUAAAGGAACUAACAAGUUUAUACGUUUUAACUAGGUAUAUUUGUAGGGUUAUUUGAUUUCGUUGAUUUCUAAAAGAAAAGAGAAAUUUUACUGAAAUUGCUUUGGACAGAAAGCUGACUUAGAGAAGGCUCCAGUAUAUCAUAAGGCCCUUAGAGAAUCAGCCAUGUGGAGGUUCGAUAACUCAGAGCAGCAAGGAGAGGAACAGCAGGAAUCAGGCACUACGUUGUCAUCCUCAUUUUAUAGACAGGGAUGGAAGCUUAAAGAGCUUAAGGAGAUUGUCCAAGGACUCAUGGCAACUAAGAGCCAGCCCACUUCCAAGUCCAUCCUCUUAACUCUCACACUCAAUUACUUUAUCCAAAACCUUGUCACAAACACACCUUCACCUAUAACUUGAACCACAGCAUGUUCUCCAAGACUGGCCUUAAAAAGGUCCUAAGAAUUACAAUUCUCCUAUUCCUAAAAUAGGUAGGAUUCAGUUCAGCUGAGAUAUCAAAUCCAAAAUAACAGUGGCUUACCUCACACAAAUGAAGUCCAGAGGUGAGCAGUACAGGACUGGUAGGGCAGCUUCGGAAAAGUACUCGGGGUCCCCCUACCUUGCUGCUCUACCCUCCUCACUGCCCAAGAUGGCUGCUGAACUCCAGUCAUCACAUCCAUGCUCCAUCAGCAAAAUGUAGAAAGAUAAUAAUAUGAUGGUUCCUGGAAAUGGCACAUGGCUCCAUUUACAUCUAUCACAUGACCAUGCCUAGCUGCAAGGGAGACUGGGAAAUGUAGCCUUUUAAUUCUAGGUGGCCAACUGUCCAGCUAAAAACUAGACAUCCUAUUGCUAAGGGAUAAGGAGAGAAUGUUAUUAGAGAACUAUCUAGCAGUCUUGGUCACAUGCAUAUGAUUAACUUAGUGGAUGUGAGGACAAUGUGUCUACAAAGUCUGGAACCCUAUCCAUCAAGAGAAUUGAAAUAAAUAUAUAAGAUUGUCAUUUUGUCCUUGAUAGCUUGUUCUGCUAGUAAGAGCAGAAAGUUCUUUAUGAAUCAACUCAAUAAUUUUUUAAAGUUUCCUCUUCCUUUAUCUUUGGAGCAAUGCCCGUUAAAUUUCAUAAAAAGCAUUUGCCUGCCUGUAGCACGCACAUCCCUUCGAGUAUGUAUUGAGGGCUCACGAUGUACCAAGCACCCACCCGACGCUGGGCGCUCCUGGGAACCACAACGGACCCAGGCCCACCCCUCUGCAAGCUGAGGUCACACCAACACUACACAGAGAGGAAUGGUACAGGGGCCAUGUGAGCACAGGCCGUGGCCCGGAUUCCUUCCUCCGGAGCCAUCUGAGAGGGGACCCUGAGGCAAGGCAUUCACGCUGAGCCCUGGGUGACGAGGAGGCUUUGCUAGGCCUGGGGUCCCCAGCCAAGUUCAUCUGGAAAGUCUCCUCAAGCUCGGGUCUGCUGCAACAAAGCGCACAGGUUUUUCCCUCCACUGACAGUCUUCACAUGUACAAGAACUUGCAAGUCCCUUCCCUUCCAACAGGCCUCUGAAAUAACUGAUGCCACCUCCGCUUCCCAGGCUGAGGAGAUGAAGCAGGAGGCCUUCCAUCCUCGGACACAAGGGCAUAGCCAACGGAGCGCAUCUCGAAGGACAGACUGGGCCUGGCGUCCCCAUUACGCUUAAUACUCGGAGAACUGAAAGUAUCUGCAUAAAGCCACCGAGAAAGAGAACCACUGUCAGGACUGACAGCUUCACGGCCGGUGACUUGAUUCAUAGGCUGCUCAGUGACAUGAACGUAAAAGCCGGGACCCUCAAGCAACGUUUUAGCUUGGGCUCUUUUCCCCUUAAUUACAAAAUAAACUAAGCAAAGGAGGUCUCCACUCUCCCGAGGCUCCCCCCAGCUGUGUCAAUCAGAUACUGUCCCCACUGCACCAGAUCAAUAGGCCUUUCGGCUCGGGACGUAAUUGGCUGCCUUCCUCCAUCACAGGUGCAGGUGGGUGGGGACAGAGCUAGCCUCCCUCCCAGGGGUCUCAGGCUUCCUUCACCCACAAAAGAGGAAUUCAGCCUCGGGCAGGUCUUAGCUCUACUGAUGAACCUUCAGCCGGGAGGGAGGGCCCCCUAGUCAGAGGCAGACAUCUACCUGUUCAACAGAGCUACUCAAAGUACGGUCCCUGGACCGGCACGGUCAGCAUCACACGGAAGCCUGUCAGAGGUGCAGAGUCUCAGGCCCCACCCCAGACCCAACGAGUUAGAAGCUUCAUUUUAACAAGACCCCCAAGAGAUUCACAAGCACGAUGAAGUUUGAGGAAUACGGCAGAUCGACCAAACCGAACAAGUUUCAGCAGCAAUAAGUUCCGUAGUCAGCGAGGGCUGUUCAUCUGGUUUGGAAGGAGCCCUAGUUAAAAUGAUCAGAAAGCUAAGCUUCAAACUAGCCUCCAUUCACUGGCCUCUGACCGCAGAACAGGACCGUCAGUGCAUUGUGCAUGUUUUUACAAGCUCCGCAGGUGAUUCUGACACAGAUGGGCCUGAAACACACUGUAAUAAACACUGCACAGGUUAACGAUUACACUACGAAAUCAAAGGAACACGAUGUGUACGCUAAAGUCCUGCUCCCCAUCAGCUGGAGGGGGAGACCUGAGUUCUAUUGGGCUGAAGCUGGACAAGCCGCAAACCUUGUCUGCUCCUAAACACAUCACACACACGCACACCCCACUGUGUGUGGAACAAAUUGCAGGGAUCGCGGGAUUCCCAGGUGGUGGGGGGUGGUGUUUAUAAAGCGGCUCGUGUGGCAUAGACCUGUUCCUAAUGAGGAUGGGAGAGGGUGUCUGAACCACAGCUGGUGCAGUUAAUCGGUGGGAAAGUUUUGGGCUCUGUGGUUCCUGGUUUGGGGAGUUCUGUUCAGUCUAAGGCAGAUGACAACACUCCAUCUGUUGUAGCCCCAGCCUGAAGGUGGGUCAUCAAGUAUACAUUAGCUCUUCGUGGUCUAGGUAAGACAAGCUAUCACAGGUAUUGACAAAACCGCUUCAAGUUAGAGUUGGCAAGACCUUCGAAGGCCCCUGGUGCAAGGACUGCCUGUGCAGAAUCAGCUGGGGGCCUUGUUCAUCGUGCGCUUUCCUGGACCCUGUGCUAGGAUCACGCAGAACCUCCAAGAGCCAGACCCCGGGAUCGAUAUUUUUUAGAAGCCCCCGUGUGGUUCUGGGGGUCAUCAGGUAUGCAGACCACAAAAAUUUCAUCUGCUAGAUGAGAAAAACCAAGUGACAUGCCCCAGUCCCCAGCCCCCACUCCUGUCAAGGGCUCUACUGGGGGAGACGUGUUAGCUACCCAGAAAACCAGCUCCGCCCCGGGGCUGUCGUGGGAACAGGAGAAGCACCAGUGUGAGGGGACUUUGUGCCCAUCAUGAGCCAGAUCCCCUCCUUAGUGUUGUUCUUUAUAACCCCACUGUGUCUUUGGAGAUACUUAAAAUGCAGUCUGUUUUCAAUGCCAUGUUUCUGGCCUCGCCCCAGAGCACAGCUCCAAACCGGAAGUCAGCCCGAGUGAAAAGAGCUGGUGUUUGCACCCACUAGGCAUCUGUUUGGGAUUAUACACAAUGGUUAACGUGAGAGAAAGGACAAUAAAAUUCACAUGGGCAUUAGCACAUUCCCCUUCCUGCAUUCUGCUCUGGAAAAUGUAGAAAUGUAC
rnacentral:lncRNA from 1 species